AACGUAGGUGGCAAGCGUUAUCCGGAAUUACUGGGCGUAAAGAGCUCGUAGGUGGUUUGUCGCGUUGUCCGUGAAAACUCACAACUCAAUUGUGGGCGUGCGGGCGAUACGGGCAGACUGGAGUACUGCAGGGGAGACUGGAAUUCCUGGUGUAGCGGUGGAAUGCGCAGAUAUCAGGAGGAACACCGGUGGCGAAGGCGGGUCUCUGGGCAGUAACUGACGCUGAGGAGCGAAAGCGUGGGGAGCGAACAGG
rnacentral:rRNA from 1 species